UGUCAUAUUAAUUCUAAGUAGGGUGCAGUAAGAUAAUAAUAGAUAUUGCAAUCCAUAAGCAAAUAGAAACAUAUAGAAAAAAAGUUUAGCUAAAAUGUAACUAGAGAAACUAAAAUGGUACGUAAAUAAGAAAAAGGCAACACAAUGCAAAUGAAAGCUACAUAAAAUAAAUAGCAAGAUGGUAAACUCGAACAUAUUAAUACACAUAUUAAAUAUAAAUGGAUUAAACACACCUAUUAAAAUGAGAAGAUUGAUAGACUGGAGGAAAAAUAUCAAUAGUCAACUGUAUGCUUUCUACACUACAUAUACUUCAAGCAUAAAAACAUAGAUAUGAAAAGCAAAAAGAUGAAAAAGGCAUACCAUGUAAACAGUAAGCAUUAAGUCAGCUGCUAUGGCUGUAUCAAUAUCAGACAAACAGGACUUUGAAAUGAGGACAAUUACCAAGGAUAGAAAAAACUCCAUAAUGUCAAAUGGGUGAGUUUCUCAGGAAGCCAUAAAACUUCUAAACAUGUAUAGACCUAAUAACAAAACUUCAAAAGUAAAUACAGAAAAAAGAUUUUUGAAUUUCUUCUUUUUUUUUUUUUGAAACAGGGUCUCACUCUGUCACCCAAGCUGGAGUGCUGUGGCAUGAUCUCAGCUCACUGCAGCAACCGCCUCCCAGGCUCAAGCAAUCCUCCCAACUCACCCUCCUGAGUUGCUGGGACCACAGGCGCAUACCACUGUGCCUGGCCAACUUUUGAUAUUUUGAUGAAGAUUCGGACACAAUUCAAUGGGGGAAGCAUAUUCUUUUCAAAAAGGAGUGCAGGAACAAUUGGACAUCCACAGGGUCUCCCUCUGUCACCUAGGCUGGAGUGCAGGGAUGCGAACAUGGCUCACUGUAGCUUCAACCUCCUGGGCUCAAGUGAUCCUCCUGCCUCAGCCUCCUGAGAAGGUAGGACCACAGGCACAUGCCACCACACCUGGCUAAUUUAAAAAUUUUUUUGUAGAGCUGAGGUCUCACUGUCUUGUCCAGGAUGGUCUUGAACCUCUGGACUUCUGCCUUGGCCUCUCAAAGCUCUGAGAUUACAGGCAUGAGUCACCACACCUGGACUACAUCCCAUUCUUUCUUACAACCAGACUUUUUUGGUAUUUUCCUCUUACCCCUAAUUGUCCAAAUCUUUGCACAAAUCUUAUAAGGUAUAUUUAAGUCAAACAUUCUCUACAAAACCUUACCUCACAUUGAUAUUCACUGUUAACCUUCUCCCUUCAAAAUGUUUGUGUGGCAUUAAGGCCAUAGCCCUUAAAUGAACUAGAAACUUGCUUUCAGAAUAAUCUACUUAGUAACAAAUAAAAAUCCCAUUUGCAUUUUUACUAAGAAUGAACAUUAUCUUCAGGGAUACCAUGGCAAAAUUUCAUGUCUAAUGAAAGGAAACAGCUUCAGACAAGAAGGAAUUCCAUUUACACAGUAAUGUUUUGCAUUGCUCCUUUGAUGGUUUCAAGAAGAGGAGACAAAAUUAAACAAAGUUUAUAAA
rnacentral:lncRNA from 1 species